rnacentral:tRNA from 1 species
AUUUAAAUAGUUUAAUUAAAAAAUUUUGGUUUGUGGAACCAAGGAUAUACAAUUGUAUUUUAGAUA